rnacentral:rRNA from 1 species
GUGGGGAAUAUUGGACAAUGGGCGAAAGCCUGAUCCAGCCAUGCCGCGUGUGUGAAGAAGGUCUUCGGAUUGUAAAGCACUUUAAGUUGGGAGGAAGGGCAGUAAGCUAAUACCUUGCUGUUUUGACGUUACCGACAGAAUAAGCACCGGCUAACUUCGUGUCAGCAGCCGCGGUAAUACGAAGGGUGCAAGCGUUAAUCGGAAUUACUGGGCGUAAAGCGCGAGUAGGUGGUUUUGUAAGUUGGAGGUGAAAUCCCCGGGCUCAACCUGGGAACUGCCUCCACAACUGCAUGACUAGAGUACGGUAGAGGGUAGUGGAAUUUCCUGUGUAGCGGUGAAAUGCGUAGAUAUAGGAAGGAACACCAGUGGCGAAGGCGACUACCUGGACUGAUACUGACACUGAGGUGCGAAAGCGUGGGGAGCAAACAGGAUUAGAUACCCGUGUAGUCC